UACGUAGGGUGCGAGCGUUAAUCGGAAUUACUGGGCGUAAAGCGUGCGCAGGCGGUUGUGCAAGACAGAUGUGAAAUCCCCGGGCUUAACCUGGGAACUGCAUCUGUGACUGCACGGCUAGAGUGUGUCAGAGGGGGGUAGAAUUCCACGUGUAGCAGUGAAAUGCGUAGAUAUGUGGAGGAAUACCGAUGGCGAAGGCAGCCCCCUGGGAUAACACUGACGCUCAUGCACGAAAGCGUGGGGAGCAAACAGG
rnacentral:rRNA from 1 species